CAACAUUGGUUCAAGAUUUUCUAUGCCACUUCUUGUAUUUCUAUCUAUUUGUAUUGAUAUUUGAAAGAAAGUUAGAUUUGAUUGUGAACUUUCUAAUAAGCCUUAUCACAUAAAAAAUAGAAUUGUGACAAGAGAGAUUUAAGCAAAUUUGUAAGAAGGGAUUGCUGGAAUUUUUGGGUAGCAAAUUUUAAGACUAAUUUGAGAUUUUUUAUGCCAAUUAUUCGAUUAUUUAUUUAUUUAUUUAUUUAUCCAUAGUGAACAAACUUUUCCUAGGUUGACUCAAUAAUAAAUAAAUUAUAGAUAUUUUAAUAAAAAGGAAUUUAAAUUUGAGAUUAGAGUUAACAAUUUGAUGCAUUCUGGGAAAAGAACAAAAUUAGUCUAUAAAUUGUAUCUAGUCUUUGGACUGGCUUUUAUAUCUGAUUUU
rnacentral:lncRNA from 1 species